rnacentral:rRNA from 1 species
UACGAAGGGGGCUAGCGUUGUUCGGAAUGACUGGGCGUAAAGGGCGCGUAGGCGGUUUGUACAGUCAGGUGUGAAAUUCCCGGGCUCAACCUGGGGGCUGCACUUGAUACGUAGGAACUGGAGUGGGGAAGAGGGUCGUGGAAUUCCCAGUGUAGAGGUGAAAUUCGUAGAUAUUGGGAAGAACACCGGUGGCGAAGGCGGCGACCUGGUCCUUGACUGACGCUGAGGCGCGAAAGCGUGGGGAGCAAACAGG